rnacentral:rRNA from 1 species
UACGGAGGGUGCGAGCGUUGUCCGGAAUCAUUGGGCGUAAAGGGCGCGUAGGUGGCCCGCUCAGCGUGCGGUGAAAGCUCGGGGCUCAACUCCGGGUCGGCCGUGCGAACUGGGGGACUGGAGCUUGUCAGAGGCAGGCGGAAUUCCGGGUGUAGCGGUGGAAUGCGUAGAGAUCCGGAAGAACACCGGUGGCGAAGGCGGCCUGCUGGGACAGUGCUGACGCUGAGGCGCGACAGCGUGGGGAGCAAACAGG